rnacentral:lncRNA from 1 species
AUGGCGAGCCCGGGGCAGCGCGGGCUCGCGGCCCUGACCACGGACGCUCCGACUUGCUCUAGGCCUUACCUCUACCGCAGACCCCUCCUGCGUUGUGUGGCCAUGGUGUCUGUAAGCGCCUUGGUGGGCCCGAUGGCGGACGAUGGGCGGGGGCGACACGCCCUCGGUGAGAAAGCCUUCUCUAGCGAUCCGAGAGGGUGCCUUGGGGUACCGGACCCCCCAGCCGCCGCCCCUCCUCUGCGCGUAGUAGCCACGGACGCACCACCGUGGCGCGUGGGCAGAGCCGCUCUUUGCCUACCGCGGCCGGCGCCUCCCCCCUCCAGUCGGGGGAGGGUCACGCCCGGCCGGGCCGUCGUUGGGCGCGGGGCCGCGCGUGUGCGCGAGCGUGCGCGUGGUUUCUCCCGUCGCGUGCUGGGGUGGGGAGAGGGCCCGGCCCUGUCCGGGCUCCGCCCCGCCGCGAGCGGCUGGCUCUCCGCUCGCUCCCGUCCCGAGCCGCAGCCGCUCUCGGGCGCGUUCCCUCGGGACGCUCUGUCUUCCCUCCUUCGCCCCGAGCGCGUCUCUCGGCGGGCCUCGGCCCUCGCCGCCGUCGGCCUUCUCCCGAGCCCUUCCCCGUCGUCGCCUGUUCUGGCUGCCCGACCGGGGCCCCGCCCCGAGCGCGACUCGCUUCCGGGGCCGCUGCGGCCUCCUCCGUGUCCGCCGCCGCUGCCCGCGCGACGGCGACGUUGCGUGCGGGCGGGGGACCGUCCCCCGCGGCGCCCCGUUCUGGCGCGCGCGUGUCUGUCGCAGCGCGGGUCGGGUCCCGGGCAGCCGUCGUGACCGGCCGCCGCGCGCCGCGCCACCCCUGGGGGCGGGGGUCGGGCCUCGGUCCGGCUCUCGGCCCGCGGGGGCGUGCGCGGGCAGUCCGGCGGCGGUGUCGACGCGACUGCCUGGUGCCCCGGCCCCGCUCACGCGCCGUCAAUCGGGGCCGCCGCGAGGGAGGUCAAGAGAAACCUUUUCCAAUGUCUUCCUCAGGAGGAGACUAGAAGUUAGAGAAAAGUAUCCUUUCGAGAGCGAGAAAAACCAAUUCUGAUUUUGCAUCAGCUUCCCUCCGAUCUUGAAACUCAUUGACUUGAUUCCAUUCUGUCGAUGGAAAUAAUCCGGAACCAAUCUAUCCGUGAAAAUCGGGGUGAGUUUAUUCUGACCUAAGAUGUAAGGACUGUGGCCCGGGGCCUUUCUUCCUGAAGGAAGAAAGGGCGCCCGGGAAGUGGGGUGUACAGAGUGCUUCUAGACCCCCAGAGAGGACGUUUCACAUAGGAUCGAAAGGUCCCUUGGACGAUAGUCGCGACACUGCUCUGUCAGCACAGCGAUCGACAGACACCGCUGGGUGGCAGGUCUGUUGUCUGGGCCUGGGUGGUCACAGGUGAGCCGGAUGGUCAAAGGUGAGCGCAAU